GCCGGGCCCGUGGCUGGUGCCUGUGAUCCUAGCGGCGGGGGAGGCUGAGGCCGGCGGAUCGCUUGAGCUCAGGAGUUCUGGGCUGCAGCGGGCUGUGCCGAGCGGGUGUCCGCGCUAAGUUUGGCAUCGAUAUGGGGAUCCCGGGGAAGCUCGGGGUCCCCAGCUUGCCUAAGGAGGGGUGAACCGGCCCAGGUCGGAAACGGAGCAGGUCAAAGCUCCCGUGCCGAUCAGUAGUGGGAUCGCGCCUGUGAAUGGCCCCUGCAGCGUAGCCUGGGCGAGACAGUGAGACCCGGUCUCUU
rnacentral:SRP_RNA from 1 species